AAAUUUAGUUCAGAGACAUUUAAUGAUGAAAUGAUUGAUUGUACAGAGCAAUUUGACUGUGGAGGUAAAUGGAAGAAGAGCAGCUCGGGUUUAUACGACUGAGGUGGAGCUCGUGUUCUGUGGUGGAGGUCGUGUUCUAAGGUGGAGCUCGUUUUUGUACGUCUGAAGUGGAGCUCGUGUUCUGUGGUGGAGCUCGUGUUUGUACGUCUGUGGUUAAGGUGGAGCUCGUGUUCUGAGGUGGAGGUCUUUGUUCAGCAGCUCUGCGUUUGCAGAAUUAUCCUGAU